UGUAGACACAAAAUAACUUAUUAACCAGUUUUUCUCUUUCAGUUUUUAUCUACCUGAUGUCAUGAUACAUAAACCCAUCUGCAUGGAAAAUAUCCCUGAGAGAGAGGCGGCAGAAAAGUUGGAUGUCCUUUAGAGUCAUUUUUUCACGUUAAAGUAAUACUUUAAGAUUUUGACCAGGAUUGAUUGCAUAGCACCAACAGAUUAACUUAGGAAGAGGAAAUUUGGACACUUAAAAGAGAUACCAGGGAUGCCUGCACACAGGAAAGCUCAUGUGAAGACAUGGCAGGAUGGUGGCCACCUGCAAGCCAAGGAGAAAAGCCUCAGGAGAAGCCAAAUCUGCUGACACCUCAGUAUUGGACUUCCAGCCUGCAGAACUAUGUAAAAAUAAAGCUCUGCUGUCUGGUAUUUUGUUGUGGCAGCCCUGGCAAACUAAUACAAUGUGCAUAUAAAGAAAAAGAAAUGUAUCCCAGCACAUAACAAUUAUGGAAAAUUUAAAUAAAUAAAGCAAAUAGUAGCAUUUGUAAUCCCUCCACCACUAUAGGUCACUACUAUUCAGGUACUUAUUGAUGUAUUGCAUUUUCAUUUGUUAUUUGUUUACAUGUAUUUGUGCCAGAAAAUUUGAUUCAUGUAUGUAUUUAUUCUUCAACUUAGCAAAUAUGCAUCAAACAGCUACAAUGUGCUGGAGCAACAGAAUAUGCCACCCAUGACCCUGUAUGCUGAGAUGCAGAAGCUUGUUGAUGGAGAGAAGCCCAGAAAUCCAGCUUUGGACAUGCUAAGUUUGAGAUGUGUCUUAAACACUAAGAUGGAAAAGUUGACCAGGGAAUUGGAUGUAGAGUUGUGCAGAUCAGAAGAGAAAUCUGGUCCAUAUAUAUAACAUUUGUGAAUAGAAGGCAUUUAAAACCAUAAGGCCAGGUAAAGCAACAAAGAUGUUACAAUGGUUAGUGAAGAGAGGAGGCCAAGGACAAAUCCCUGAAGCACUUAAGAGGAUGAGGAGAAAAGAAGAACCAGGAAGUGUGACAGAGAAGGUACAACCAGUGAGGGAGGAGGAAGAGCAAGGGAAUGGGGUGUCUGGAAGCCAAACAAAAGAAGUUUAACCUAGAAAGAGCGUUUCAGCUCUGUUAAAUAGUGUUGAUACGGCAGGUAUGAGAAUAAGUAGGAAGUGACUAUUGGAUUGAAGAUGAGGAGGAAGUCAGUGAUUUUGAUGAGAAUAGUUUCCAUGGAGUAUUAGGGAGGAAAACUUGGCCCCAGGGAAUGAAGGGAGAAUGUGAGAAGAAUUAGUGUGUAAAGGCCACUCUUUCCUGGAGUUCUGCUGAAAGGAGAGUUAGAAAAAAAAAAAGUAAGUGGUACUUCAGGAGAAGAUGGGGAAGGGGUUCAAAAUAAGAUUUGCUUUUUCUUUUAAAAUGAGAAAAAAUGGUAUAUAGUUUGAAUAAUAAUUUAAAUUAGCUAAAGGGGAGCAAAAAUGUGGUGGUGUAAGAAAGAGGGGGGAAUUGUGAUGCUCAUGAGAAAGAAAGGAAAUGUGACAUCCUUUAGUCAGAUCUAGGAGAAGGUGAGUUCUAGAAUAGGCAGACGGGCAGAAUGUGUGAGGGCAGGUGAGGACAGGCAGUUAGUCACGAUUAGUGAUUGCCUGCAAUGAUCCCUUCUGAGGACUGAGGGAAUGGAGUAGAGAUGGGAAGGGAUAGGUCUGGAAGGAUCAAAGCUAUUGUUCAUGAACCUCAGGUGAGGACAAUCAGGGCUGUUGUUUUCUCCACUCAUGUUCAGCUGAUUGGGUGCAGAAGAAGAGUAGGAGAAAUUUUGGAGUUAGGUGGUUAUUGGCUAGACCAUGGAGUGGCCAAGAAAGAAAGAAAAAAAAAGAUUUUUAUCAUUUUGUUUUCAUUUAAUUGUUUUCAUUUAAUAUUAAGUCAUAAGCCUCUUUUCUGUGUUAUCAAAUAUCUUUGUAAACAUUUUAAUGCUUGUAAAUUGUUGGGCUGCACCCCGCAGACCUGUAAACCCAGGCUGGAGAUGGGAGACAGUGACAGAGACAUCAACGGUUUAUUGGAUAGGGAUCCUACCUGUCUGAAGGAAAAGGUCCUCUAGAGCAACACCCCAUCAUGUAUGAUAGAUAGCCAGGCAGGACACGGCAGCAAUCUUACUUGGGGGAGAAAGAGGGUACCAUUUAUAGAGCUGCUUGACCUCAUGUUGGCUUAUCAGUUACCAGGGAAACAAGUGGCUGGAGCAGAGGGCAAGCACGUAGGCAGUUACUGAUUAAGCCCAGUGAUUAACAGGAUUGGAUAGUCAUGUGAGGAGGAUGUAGGUGAAGCAGGGACUGAUCGAGCAGAGGAUGUACAGCGAGCAAGAGAACAGCCAUCCUGAGCGGCCUGAGCAUACAUAAAAAAAUACAUGAACAAUAAGUUUAAAUAUUUCCCUACUAUUGGAGUGUUUUAAAUGUUUUUAGUUAUUUUAUGUACUACUUCAAUAAUUAUUGAAUUUGAGGAUCAAAAUUGAGAACCAAUUGAAAGAAGGAAGGUAUGUAAAAGCAUAAAAGAAAUUUGCAAAGUGAUUCCAAAGGAAUUAUUUUAGUGAAGAUCUAUUACUAUAAAACUCCACAAAAUUCAGUGACUUCAAAAACAGCAGCUAUUUUUUUCUUGCACUUCUGUGAUUCAGGUAGAGCUUGAUGGGAAUAGCUUUUUCUGCUUCAACAUGCAUCAUACAAAGCAACUUAACUGGAAAAAUUACUUCCAAAAUGGCACCAUUUACUUAGUUGUUUCUGCUGGUUGUUGGCUAGGAGCGGAGCUGAGAAUAUUUGAAAAACUAUAAUGUAUCUUAGAAAUUAGUAUUUCAUGAUGGAUAUAAAUUAAGAUUUGACUGGAAGAGUUUUUAUAUAUUCCAUGUUUGUCCAAAAAAAUCUUUUAAAAACGUUAAUUCUACUUUUUUUGGGCAAUUAUUUUUUGCCUCAAUUGU